rnacentral:rRNA from 1 species
UGCAGUCGGACGACAGGCGAGGAAUCCGCAAGGAGGAAUUGUGCUGAGUGGCGAACGGGUGAGUAAGACAUGGGGACGUACCCUCAAGAGGGGGAUAGCAUUCCGAAAGGGAUGGUAAUACCCCGUAAGCUCGAGAGAGGGAAGGUGCAACAGCACCGCUUGAGGAGCGACUCAUGGCCCAUCAGUUAGUUGGUGAGGUAAAGGCCCACCAAGGCUAUGACGGGUAGCUGGUCUGAGAGGAUGGUCAGCCACACUGGGACUGAGACACGGCCCAGACUCCUACGGGAGGCAGCAGUGGGGAAUUUUUCCCAAUGGGCGAAAGCCUGAGGGAGCGACGCCGCGUGGAGGAAGGAGUCUUUCGAGAUGUAAACUCCUGUUGUAAGGGAGCAAGGGUAUAUGUAGUGGAAAGGCAUAUACUCGGAUAGUACCUUACGAGGAAGCCCCGGCUAACUACGUGCCAGCAGCCGCGGUAAUACGUAGGGGGCGAGCGUUGUCCGGAGUUACUGGGCGUAAAGGGUGCGUAGGUGGCCGAUAAAGUCAAUUGUGAAAUUCCACGGCUCAACUGUGGGAGUGCGGUUGAAACUAAUCGGCUUGAGGUCAGGUCAGGAAGAUGGAAUUGUCAGUGUAGGGGUGAAAUCCGUAGAUAUUGGCAAGAACGCCGGUGGUGAAGACGGUCUUCUGGGCUGAUACUGACACUGAGGCACGAAAGCUAGGGGAGCGAACGGGAUUAGAUACCCCGGUAGUCCUAGCCGUAAACGAUGUUCACUGAGUAUGGGAGGCGUUAGCCAUCCGUGCUGAAGCAAACGCGUUAAGUGAACCGCCUGGGGAGUACGG